rnacentral:lncRNA from 1 species
CUGUGUUCGACAUACUGAUGCAAUCCGUAAGUUCUUUUCAACUUUUGUAAAUCUCAUGGAAACUCUCCUAUUCCAAAACUGAUGUAACACAUGUUUUCACAUUUGCAGUCACAGCCGUCCCAAGAAUCCCAGGCACCAAGACCUCUUCCUGACAAUCAAUUUCUUGCAAGCCAAAUAGAGGAUCUACAAAUGACAAAACAGACCACAACUAUAAUCCAUGUAGCAGCAAAGAAGAAGAAAAGGAAGGAGAAGAUCACGGAGAAGGAGAAUGUUAUUCCUAGGAAGAAGAAAUAGAAGAUGAAGUGGACAUGCCUUCUAUUGGACAGAACCUGGUUUCUUUUUGAACAGAGUUUGGUUUCUUUUGGAUAGAUAGAGAUGGUUAGGGCCUUCACAAAUUGAAGGCUUUAUUUUGGACGGAG